rnacentral:rRNA from 1 species
AUUGAACGCUGGCGGCAGGCCUAACACAUGCAAGUCGAACGAGUGGCGGACGGGUGAGUAAUGUCUGGGAAACUGCCCGAUGGAGGGGGAUGACUACUGGAAACGGUAGCUAAUACCGCAUACCAUCGGAUGUUCCCAGAUGGGAUUAGCUCGUAGGUGGGGUACCGGCUCACCUAGGCGACGAUCCCUAGCUGGUCUGAGAGGAUGACCAUCCACACUGGAACUGAGCCACGGUCCAGACUCCGACGGGAGGCAGCAGUGGGGAAUAAUGCACAAUGGGCGCAAGCCUGAUGCAGCCAUGCCGCGUGUAUGAAGAAGGCCUUCGGUUUGUAAAGUACUUUCAGCAGGGAGGCGUUACCCGCAGAAGAAGCACCGGCUAACUCCGUGCCAGCAGCCGCGGUAAUAC